ACCAUCAAUAGUGUCGAUAGUGGCUCGAUAGUAUAGCCCUGGGCUGUUAGCCCAACAAAAAAUUUUUUUUUUAACAAAUAUAAUAAAGCUAAGAGUUGCGAUUUAAAAACAAAAGAAUGUUAUUAUUUGGCCCGCCUUGCUGAAUGUUCUUUCAGACUCCACGGACGUAGCCGGAAUGCAAAGAUAUUUGGCGAAAAGGCUCCCAAUGGCAGGGAAAUCAGUUUGAUUCACCUGGAAUAAAGUAAUAUACUUAAUUAUAUGCAAAUUA